rnacentral:rRNA from 1 species
AUUGAACGCUGGCGGCAGGCCUAACACAUGCAAGUCGAACGGUAACAGGAAGACGCUUGCUUCUUUGCUGACGAGUGGCGGACGGGUGAGUAAUGUCUGGGAAACUGCCUGAUGGAGGGGGAUAACUACUGGAAACGGUAGCUAAUACCGCAUAACGUCGCAAGACCAAAGAGGGGGACCUUCGGGCCUCUUGCCAUCGGAUGUGCCCAGAUGGGAUUAGCUAGUAGGUGGGGUAACGGCUCACCUAGGCGACGAUCCCUAGCUGGUCUGAGAGGAUGACCAGCCACACUGGAACUGAGACACGGUCCAGACUCCUACGGGAGGCAGCAGUGGGGAAUAUUGCACAAUAGGCGCAAGCCUGAUGCAGCCAUGCCGCGUGUAUGAAGAAGGCCUUCGGGUUGUAAAGUACUUUCAGCGGGGAGGAAGGGAGUAAAGUUAAUACCUUUGCUCAUUGACGUUACCCGCAGAAGAAGCACCGGCUAACUCCGUGC